rnacentral:rRNA from 1 species
GCGCACGGGUGAGUAACGCGUGGGAACCUGUCCUGUGGUACGGAAUAACAUCGGGAAACUGGUGCUAAUACCGUAUAUCCCCUGAGGGGGAAAGAUUUAUCGCCAUAGGAGGGGCCCGCGUAGGAUUAGCUAGUUUGGUGAGGUAACGGCUCACCAAGGCGACGAUCCUUAGCUGGUCUGAGAGGAUGAUCAGCCACACUGGGACUGAGACACGGCCCAGACUCCUACGGGAGGCAGCAGUGGGGAAUAUUGGACAAUGGGCGAAAGCCUGAUCCAGCCAUGCCGCGUGUGUGAUGAAGGCCUUCGGGUUGUAAAGCACUUUCGCACGUGACGAUGAUGACGGUAACGUGAGAAGAAGCCCCGGCUAACUUCGUGCCAGCAGCCGCGGUAAUACGAAGGGGGCAAGCGUUGUUCGGAAUUACUGGGCGUAAAGGGCGCGUAGGCGGUGCACUAAGUCAGGCGUGAAAGCCCUGGGCUCAACCCGGGAAUUGCGCUUGAUACUGGUGCGCUUGAAUCCAGGAGAGGUUGGUGGAAUUCCCAGUGUAAGAGGUGAAAU